rnacentral:rRNA from 1 species
CAGUCGAGCGGAACGAUGAUAGCUUGCUAUCAGGCGUCGAGCGGCGGACGGGUGAGUAACGCGUAGAUAUCUACCUAGUAGUGGGGAACAACCUGUGGAAACGCAGGCUAAUACCGCAUACGUCCUACGGGAGAAAGGGGGCCAAUUCUUGAAAGCUCUCGCUAUUAGAUGAGUCUGCGUCGGAUUAGCUAGUUGGUGAGGUAAUGGCUCACCAAGGCGACGAUCCGUAGCUGGUCUGAGAGGAUGAUCAGCCACACUGGAACUGAGACACGGUCCAGACUCCUACGGGAGGCAGCAGUGGGGAAUAUUGCACAAUGGGCGAAAGCCUGAUGCAGCCAUGCCGCGUGUGUGAAGAAGGCCUUAGGGUUGUAAAGCACUUUCAGCGAGGAGGAAAGGUUGUUAGUUAAUACCUGACAGCUGUGACGUUACUCGCAGAAGAAGGACCGGCUAACUCCGUGCCAGCAGCCGCGGUAAUACGGAGGGUCCGAGCGUUAAUCGGAAUUACUGGGCGUAAAGCGCGCGUAGGCGGCUUGUUAAGUCAGAUGUGAAAGCCCUGGGCUCAACCUGGGAACUGCAUUUGAUACUGGCAAGCUAGAGUAUGGGAGAGGACAGUGGAAUUUCUAGUGUAGCGGUGAAAUGCGUAGAUAUUAGAAGGAACACCAGUGGCGAAGGCGACUGUCUGGCCCAAUACUGACGCUGAGGUGC